UAAAAUUAAAAAAUUUGGCGGUAUUUUAGUCUUUUCAGAGGAACCUGUUCUAUAAUUGAUAGUCCACGAUUUAAUUUACUUAUUUUAUUAAUUUAUAUAUCAUCGUAGUAAGAGUAUUUUUAAAGAAUUAAAAUAUUCAAGAUUAAAGAUUAUUAAAUAAAUCAGAUCAAGGUGUAGUUUAUAAAUAAGAAGAAAUGGGUUACAAUAAAAAAAUUUUUAUGAAUAAGUUUUUGUUAGGAAUUUUAAAAUUGGAUUUGAAAGUAAUAUAAUUUUAAAUAUUUUAUGUGAUUUAAGCUCUAAAAUAUGUACAUAUUGCCCGUCGCUUUUGUUUUAAGAUGAAAUAAGUCGUAACAAAGUAGAUUUACUGGAAAGUGAAUCUAGAAGA
rnacentral:rRNA from 1 species